GACGAACGCUGGCGGCGUGCUUAACACAUGCAAGUCGAACGGAAAGGCCCUGCAUUUGUGGGAUGCUCGAGUGGCGAACGGGUGAGUAACGCGUGAGUAACCUGCCCUUGACUUUGGGAUAACUUCAGGAAACUGGGGCUAAUACCGGAUAGGAGCUCCUGCUGCAUGGUGGGUGAGGGAAAGUUUCGGCGGUUGGGGAUGGACUCGCGGCUUAUCAGCUUGUUGGUGGGGUAGUGGCUUACCAAGGCUUGGACGGGUAGCCGGCCUGAGAGGGUGACCGGCCACAUUGGGACUGAGAUACGGCCCAGACUGCUACGGGAGGCAGCAGUGGGGGAUAUUGCACAAUGGGCGGAAGCCUGAAGCAGCGACGCCGCGUGCGGGAUGACUGCCUUCGGGGUGUAAACCGCUUUCGCCUGUGACGAAGCGUGAGUGACGGUAAUGGGUAAAGAAGCACCGGCUAACUACGUG
rnacentral:rRNA from 1 species